AAUUGCUAGUAAUGGCAGGUCAGCAUACUGCCGUGAAUACGUUCCCGGGCCCUUGUACACACCGCCCGUCACACCAUGAGAGUUGGAAAUACCCGAAGCCUGUGAGCUAACUUAAAGAGGCAGCAGUCGAAGGUAGAGCCAAUGAUUGGGGUGAAGUCGUAACAAGGUAGC
rnacentral:rRNA from 1 species